UUUUAUUUAAGCAUAUGUAUGUUUUGUAUGUAUAAGUAUGCGCAUUUGCUUGUCUGUAUGCAUAAAUACGUCAUUCUCUUCAAUUUUUCAUUUAUUUUUUAUUCUUUCUUUGGCAUUAUACUGUCGUUUAUUUGUAUAUAAAUUUUAAAUAUAAAAAGAAAAUAAGAGAAAAUUAUUCACCUUGUAUUAAUUUUUAUAACAAUUUACGUAUUCUCUUGUUAUAUUAUAUACGUAUAUAUUUUUAGCAUAAUAAUAAUAAUAAUAAUAAUCAUGCAAUAUAUGUAUAUACAUCACAAGUUAGAUGAAGGAAGAUCUUAUUUUACAUAAUUUUCAUAAACAUUUUUUUUUUUUUUUUUAUUUAAAAUAAUAAUUUUUUACUACAUUACUCAAAAAAAAAAAUGAAAAAUAAUUUUGAAAAUCAUGACAGUACAGAAGUGUUAGACUUGAGAAAAGAAAAAAAGAAUAAACUACGUUAUUGGACAAAUGGGGAGAAUAGAAAAAAUAAAAAUGACAAAGAUGUAAAAAAUAAUAAACCUGAUAUAAAAAUAAAUUUAAAAAAUAAUAGAAAAAUUACACCAAAUGAAAAUAAUGAAAAUAAUGAAAAUAAUGAAAAUAAUGAAAAUAANNNNNNNNNNAAUGAAAAUAAUGAAAAUAAUGAAAAUAAUGAAAAUAAUGAAAAUAAUGAAAAUAAUAAAAAUAAUAAAAACAUUAAUGGUACUAUUUUAAACAAUAAAUUAAAUGAAAAUAAUAAAGAAAUUAUAGUAGUAAAAAAUAAAAAAGAAUUUAAAAAAAUGGGUGAUGAAACAAAUGAAGGAAAGUAUAUUAACAAUUAUAUUAACAACUAUAUUAACAACAAGGGUAAAAAUAAUCACAAUAUUCAUAAAAAUACCAGUGACACUAGUAAUAAUAUUACUAAUAUUAAAACUGAUAAUAUAAAAAGUAGUGCUAACAUAAAUAAGAAUAUCAAACAAAAAUACACUAACAGUAAUAACAAUAAUAACGAUAACAAUAACAGUAAUAAUAGUAAUAACAGUAAUAAUAAUAAUAAUAAUAAUAAUAAUAAUAAUAGUAAUAGUAAUAGUAAUAGUCGUAAUAGUAAUAGUCAUAAUGGUAAUAGAAUUAUAAGUAAUAAAAAUGGAAGUAAUAAAAAAAAUAAUGCAGAUGAAAGUGACAGCCAUAUAAACAACAAAAAUUAUAAUAAUACUAAAGCGAGUGUUACUAACUAUAACUUAAUAAAAAAAAGUGUAGAACACAAAAAAAAAAGUUAUAACGAUAGAGAAAAGAAUUGUAAAAACUCAUAUCAUAAUUAUGAAAAGGUCAAUUCUGAAAAGGUCAAUUCUGAAAAAGUUAAUUAUGAAAAGGUCAAUUCUGAAAAAGUAAAUUCUGAAAAGGUAAAUUAUGAAAAGGUAAAUUAUGAAAAGGUAAAUUCUGAAAAAGUAAAUUCUGAAAAAGUAAAUUCUGAAAAAGUAAAUUAUGAAAAGGAAAGUGUUGAAAACAAUGGAACUACUAAUGUUAUUACUUCCAAGACUAACAAUAUGACUAGCAAUACUAAUAGUGAAGAAUUGAAAAAAGAAAUAAGUAAAAAUUAUAUGAACAGUGAAAAGAAAACCAAUAAUAAUGAAAAAUUGUCACAUAAUCUUAUUAACAAUAAUGUUUGUAAUAAUCAAAAUAAACUAAACAAAAAUAUCAACCCUGAAAAUAAUAUAAAAAAAAAAUAUACCACAGAACAAAAAAAUAAAAUAAAUUCUUUAAAAAAAGGCAAUAAAAAAAUCAAAAACAAAGCUGAAAGCUAUCUACAAAAUUCGUGGACUUUUUCAUUUGAUAAAGAAAAUAAAAAGUUUUAUGAACGGUUCAUGAACAAUAUAAUAUCCCUAGAAACGUUUAAUACAAUAGAAAAAUUUUAUAAGUAUCACUAAAAAAAAAAAAAAAAAAAAAAAAAAAAUGGAUAA
ensembl:lncRNA